rnacentral:rRNA from 1 species
GACGAACGCUGGCGGCGUGCUUAACACAUGCAAGUCGAACGGAAAGGCCCUGCUUUUGUGGGGUGCGCGAGUGGCGAACGGGUGAGUAACACGUGAGUAACCUGCCAUUGACUUUGGGAUAACUUCAGGAAACUGGGGCUAAUACCGGAUAGGAGCUCCUGCUGCAUGGUGGGGGCUGGAUAGUUUCGGCUGUUGGUGAUGGACUCGCCGCGUAUCAGCUUGUUGGUGGGGUAGUGGCUUACCAAGGCUUUGAACGGUAGCAGGCCUGGGAGGGUGACCGGCCACGUUAGGCCUGGAAUGCGGCACGGACUCGUACGGGAGGCGACGGUGGGGUAGAGUGCGCAAGGGGCGGAGGCCUGGUGCAGCAACGCCGCGUGCGGGAUGACAGCCAGCGGGUUGUGUUCCGCAUUCGCCUGUGACGAGGCGUGAGUGACGGUAAUGGGUGAAGAAGCACCGGCUAACUACGUG